UGGAACGAAAGUCUGAUGGAGCAACGCCGCGUGAGUGAAGAAGGGUUUCGGCUCGUAAAGCUCUGUUGGUAGUGAAAGAAAGAUAGAGGUAGUAACUGGCCUUUUAUUUGACGGUAAUUACUUAGAAAGUCACGGCUAACUACGUGCC
rnacentral:rRNA from 1 species